UACGUAGGGGGCAAGCGUUGUCCGGAAUCAUUGGGCGUAAAGCGCGUGUAGGCGGCCCGUUAAGUCCGCUGUGAAAGUCCAGGGCUCAACCCUGGGAUGCCGGUGGAUACUGUCGGGCUCGAGUCCGGAAGAGGCGAGUGGAAUUCCUGGUGUAGCGGUGAAAUGCGCAGAUAUCAGGAGGAACACCAAUGGCGAAGGCAGCUCGCUGGGACGUGACUGACGCUGAGACGCGAAAGCGUGGGGAGCAAACAGG
rnacentral:rRNA from 1 species